UCAACAAACAUUUAUCGUGUGCC
rnacentral:miRNA from 1 species